rnacentral:rRNA from 1 species
CAGAGUUUGAUCAUGGCUCAGGACGAACGCUAGCGGCGUGCCUAAGGUAUGCAAGUCGAACGGGCUUGAGGGCUUGCUCUCAAGCUAGUGGCGAACGGUCGAGUAACACGUAGACUACCUGCCUUCCAGUGGGGGACAACCGCUCGAAAGGGCGGCUAAUACCGCAUACGGCGAGGGAGCGCCUGCUCCCCUGGCCAAAGGGUUGGCGCAAGCCAACUCGCUGGAAGAUGGGUCUGCGGCCUAUCAGCUUGUUGGUGAGGUAACGGCUCACCAAGGCGACGACGGGUAGCGGGUCUGAGAGGAUGAUCCGCCGGACGGGGACUGAGACACGGCCCCGACUCCUCCGGGAGGCAGCAGUGGGGAAUUGUUCGCAAUGGGCGCAAGCCUGACGACGCAACGCCGCGUGGAGGAUGAAGACUUUCGGGUCGUAAACUCCUUUCGACCGAGAUGAAUUUCCGCCCAUCUAAUACAUGGGCGGAGUGACAGUAUCGAGGGAAGCAGCCCCGGCUAACUCCGUGCCAGCAGCCGCGGUAAUA